AGAGUUUGAUCCUGGCUCAGGAUGAACGCUAGCGGCAGGCUUAAUACAUGCAAGUCGAGGGGCAGCAUGAGUAGCAAUACUUGAUGGCGACCGGCGCACGGGUGCGUAACGCGUAUGCAACUUGCCUUUGACAGGGGAAUAGCCCCGAGAAAUCGGGAUUAAUGCCCCAUAAUAUCACAGAUUCGCAUGUUUUUGUGAUUAAAGCUCCGGCGGUCAAAGAUGGGCAUGCGUGACAUUAGCUUGUUGGUGAGGUAACGGCUCACCAUGGCAACGAUGUCUAGGGGUCCUGAGAGGGUUAUCCCCCACACUGGUACUGAGACACGGACCAGACUCCUACGGGAGGCAGCAGUAAGGAAUAUUGGGCAAUGGACGCAAGUCUGACCCAGCCAUGCCGCGUGAAGGAUUGACGGCCCUAUGGGUUGUAAACUUCUUUUAUAUGGGAAAAAACCUCUGAACUAUUUCAGAGCUGAUGGUACCGUAUGAAUAAGCACCGGCUAACUCCGUGCCAGCAGCCGCGGUAAUACGGAGGGUGCGAGCGUUAUCCGGAUUUAUUGGGUUUAAAGGGUGCGUAGGCGGAAUUAUAAGUCAGUGGUGAAAUCUAACGGCUCAACCGUUAAACUGCCAUUGAUACUGUAAUUCUAGAGUUUAGCUGAAGUGGGCGGAAUGUAGCAUGUAGCGGUGAAAUGCAUAGAGAUGCUACAGAACUCCGAUUGCGAAGGCAGCUCACUAAACUACAACUGACGCUGAGGCACGAAAGCGUGGGUAGCGAACAGGAUUAGAUACCCUGGUAGUCCACGCCGUAAACGAUGAUCACUCGCUGUUGGCGAUACACUGUCAGCGGCUGAGCGAAAGUAUUAAGUGAUCCACCUGGGGAGUACGAUCGCAAGGUUGAAACUCAAAGGAAUUGACGGGGGCCCGCACAAGCGGAGGAGCAUGUGGUUUAAUUUGAUGAUACGCGAGGAACCUUACCUGGGCUCAAAUGUAGAACGACGGUUGCCGAAAGGUGACUUUCUUCGGACGGUCUGCAAGGUGCUGCAUGGUUGUCGUCAGCUCGUGCCGUGAGGUGUCGGGUUAAGUCCCAUAACGAGCGCAACCCCUAUUCUUAGUUGCCAGCAUGUAAUGAUGGGGACUCUAAGAAAACUGCCUACGCAAGUAGUGAGGAAGGUGGGGAUGACGUCAAAUCAGCACGGCCCUUAUGUCCAGGGCUACACACGUGCUACAAUGGUUGGUACAGAGGGCAGCUACCUGGUGACAGGAUGCUAAUCUCGAAAGCCAAUCUCAGUUCGGAUCGAAGUCUGCAACUCGACUUCGUGAAGUUGGAUUCGCUAGUAAUCGCAUAUCAGCAAUGAUGCGGUGAAUACGUUCCCGGGCCUUGUACACACCGCCCGUCACACCAUGGGAGUUGAUUUCACCCGAAGCGGGGAAGCUAAACUGGCUACCCUCCACGGUGGAAUUAGCGACUGGGGUGAAGUCGUAACAAGGUA
rnacentral:rRNA from 1 species